UAAUGGAACGGAGAAUGAAGAAUGAAGAAUGAAGCUUAUAGCCUAUCCAUUUCUGUGAAAUCACUCCCACGCACACUACUCAUCUGCUCAGUCCAUGGCAAUGGCAGCAGCAGCUUCUCUUCUGUCACUUCGCUGCCCUUCUUCUCCAUUCAAGGAUUGAAGCCCAAGGCAUGCAACUUCACUUGUCUUAAACUCUAUUCUAAGAAGAAAAGACCAUUAGUGAUCAUCAACCAAGCAGCAGCAGCAGCUUCUGUGGUUACUACAUCUCCAGGAGUGAGGUUCAGGCUGGACAAUCUGGGCCCGCAACCGGGGUCUAGAAAGAAAGGGAAGAGGUAUCUCUGCAGGACAAGGAAACAGUUGUGGUUUUGGCAUGAGAGGUCAGAAAUCUCGGCCUGGUCUUGGUGUUCGAAAAGGGUUUGAGGGUGGACAAAUGCCUCUGUACCGCCGUAUCCCUAAAUUGCGUGGAAUUGCUGGAGCCUGGAGCUGUUUAAAGACUACUGUGAUAAUCCUAUAUAUUGUCAGUCUUUUUGGUAUAUGGAAAUUAUAAGCUUCGGUGGUCGAAAUCUCUAGUCCGCUGCUUGUCAUAGAAUGAAGAGACUCCAGUUGAUUUCCUAGAAAGGAGAGAAGACAGAUCAAGUCAAUUGCAUGUGAGAGCCACAAAUCACAGUAGUGUUUUCUAGUAGUUGACUAUGAGACACGCUUAUUUUCUUUUGGAUUUAGGUUCUGGGUGAUGGAGAGCUGAGUGUCAAGCUGAACAUCAAAGCUCGUGCCUUUUCAGCAGCGGCCAAGGAGAAACUUGAGGCUGCUGGAUGCUCUCUUACUGUUUUACCGGGCCGAAAGAAAUGGGUGAAACCAUCAGUUGCU